GACGAACGCUGGCGGCGUGCCUAAUACAUGCAAGUAGAACGCUGAAGAGAGGAGCUUGCUCUUCUUGGAUGAGUUGCGAACGGGUGAGUAACGCGUAGGUAACCUGCCUUGUAGCGGGGGAUAACUAUUGGAAACGAUAGCUAAUACCGCAUAACAAUGGAUGACACAUGUCAUUUAUUUGAAAGGGGCAAUUGCUCCACUACAAGAUGGACCUGCGUUGUAUUAGCUAGUAGGUGAGGUAACGGCUCACCUAGGCGACGAUACAUAGCCGACCUGAGAGGGUGAUCGGCCACACUGGGACUGAGACACGGCCCAGACUCCUACGGGAGGCAGCAGUAGGGAAUCUUCGGCAAUGGGGGCAACCCUGACCGAGCAACGCCGCGUGAGUGAAGAAGGUUUUCGGAUCGUAAAGCUCUGUUGUAAGUCAAGAACGAGUGUGAGAGUGGAAAGUUCACACUGUGACGGUAGCUUACCAGAAAGGGACGGCUAACUACGUGCCAGCAGCCGCGGUAAUACGUAGGUCCCGAGCGUUGUCCGGAUUUAUUGGGCGUAAAGCGAGCGCAGGCGGUUUGAUAAGUCUGAAGUUAAAGGCUGUGGCUCAACCAUAGUUCGCUUUGGAAACUGUCAAACUUGAGUGCAGAAGGGGAGAGUGGAAUUCCAUGCGUAGCGGUGAAAUGCGUAGAUAUAUGGAGGAACACCGGUGGCGAAAGCGGCUCUCUGGUCUGUAACUGACGCUGAGGCUCGGAAGCGUGGGGAGCGAACAGGAUUAGAUACCCUGGUAGUCCACGCCGUAAACGAUGAGUGCUAGGUGUUGGAUCCUUUCCGGGAUUCAGUGCCGCAGCUAACGCAUUAAGCACUCCGCCUGGGGAGUACGACCGCAAGGUUGAAACUCAAAGGAAUUGACGGGGGCCCGCACAAGCGGUGGAGCAUGUGGUUUAAUUCGAAGCAACGCGAAGAACCUUACCAGGUCUUGACAUCCCGAUGCUAUUUCUAGAGAUAGAAAGUUACUUCGGUACAUCGGUGACAGGUGGUGCAUGGUUGUCGUCAGCUCGUGUCGUGAGAUGUUGGGUUAAGUCCCGCAACGAGCGCAACCCCUAUUGUUAGUUGCCAUCAUUCAGUUGGGCACUCUAGCGAGACUGCCGGUAAUAAACCGGAGGAAGGUGGGGAUGACGUCAAAUCAUCAUGCCCCUUAUGACCUGGGCUACACACGUGCUACAAUGGUUGGUACAACGAGUUGCGAGUCGGUGACGGCAAGCUAAUCUCUUAAAGCCAAUCUCAGUUCGGAUUGUAGGCUGCAACUCGCCUACAUGAAGUCGGAAUCGCUAGUAAUCGCGGAUCAGCACGCCGCGGUGAAUACGUUCCCGGGCCU
rnacentral:rRNA from 1 species